AAGAGACGAAUUCAGAAAGGUAGGUGAAAUCAAAAGACAUUAUCGUACACCAGGAUGGAAAAGGUACUACAGGGCCCCAGCCCCAACGAAGAUCAGAAUCGGGGCCAUUAAGUGACAGAACGAGUGAGAGUCCACUGAAGAAGAAGACCAGUCUCACAGCAACACUGAGUGAGUGCACAGGCACUGUGGCAUUGUCACCCGCAGUGACGAUGCUCCUCCACGCCCAGUGCCUCGCCUUCCAUCUUACCCUGCCUGGGCCUGACCUUGAGCUUCUCUCUCUCUGCAUCUAUACUCCUCGCCGUCUGCUCCCCCUGCUUGCCUCGCCUAGCGUCGCCUGUAGGCAGCACCACAGAGUGUUCGGGAGCGCGCCCAACCCAUAAGCCUGGACCAGGUUUAGAAGGGAGUUCGCCGUCGGGCAUGACGCUGGGGAGUCCAGCAGGAGCAUCGCGUGUGGGCUGCUCUCCAGAACGACUCCGGCGCGCCAGCAUCGUGAGAUGGUUGAUUGGAGGCUUGUUUGAUGGCUUGGACGUGGUGGAGUAUGUCGCGGGAAGGCGUGUGAGGGAACACGGCAGCAGUGGUGCUAGAGCAGGGGGGUGAUGUGUGCAGGAAGAAAGAGGCGAUUUGCUGUUUAGUUUCUGUGUUGCGGUCAUCGCUUAGCAUGAUGGGGCAGCAUCGUCCGGGCGUUUUGUGCCCAGCUGGGAUGCGUGGAGGAGCGCGGUACCCGUGGGACGCGAGCCCGGUGGAUUAUGAGGGAGAGUGGUCGAUGCAGCUCGUCCGCAGUUGUGAGCGAGAUGUGCACGUAGUAGAGGGACGCGCAUGAGAGGCAAUGGGCACAUUGAGGCGAAGAGGAUAAGUUGGGAAGUUUGCGCUGGUUGGCGCGGAACG